UCCACAUCGACGGGGAGGUUUGGCACCUCGAUGUCGGCUCAUCACAUCCUGGGGCUGAAGUAGGUCCCAAGGGUUGGGCUGUUCGCCCAUUAAAGUGGUACGCGAGCUGGGUUCAGAACGUCGUGAGACAGUUCGGUCCCUAUCCGUCGCAGGCGUAGGAAAUUUGAGGAGACCUGUCCUUAGUACGAGAGGACCGGGAUGGACGUACCGCUGGUGUACCAGUUGUUCUGCCAAGGGCAUGGCUGGGUAGCUAAGUAUGGAAAGGAUAAGCGCUGAAAGCAUCUAAGUGCGAAGCCAGCCGCAAGAUGAGAACUCCAUUGAGGGUCGUCAGAGACGAUGACGUUGAUAGGAUGCAGGUGUAAAGACAGCGAUGUCAAAGCCGAGCAUUACUAAUUGCCCGAACACUUUCUUUAG
rnacentral:rRNA from 1 species